CCACGGUAAAGAUCCAAAAUUUUGCUGAUGAUGCACUUAGACUGACCUUAUUUUUUUUUUUACUAAAGGACAAAGUCGAGUACCGGCUUGGCACAAUAAGAAGACCAAUCCAAACUUGGACUAAAAUAUAGCACGAGUUUCUUAAAAAAAAUUAUUUCAUAGUCGAACCAACACCAUGAGGUGAGCCAUCACUGGAUUUGCUUAGCUUCCAUGGGAA
rnacentral:lncRNA from 1 species